UAGGGAAUAUUGGGCAAUGGGCGCAAGCCUGACCCAGCAACGCCGCGUGAGGGAAGAAGGUUUUCGGAUUGUAAACCUCUGUCCUAUGUGACGAAGGAAGUGACGGUAGCAUAGGAGGAAGCCCCGGCUAACUACGUGCCAGCAGCCGCGGUAAUACGUAGGGGGCGAGCGUUGUCCGGAAUUACUGGGCGUAAAGGGUGCGUAGGCGGUUUGGUAAGUUGGAUGUGAAAUACCCGGGCUUAACUUGGGGGCUGCAUCCAAUACUGUCGGACUUGAGUGCAGGAGAGGAAAGCGGAAUUCCUAGUGUAGCGGUGAAAUGCGUAGAUAUUUGGAAGAACACCAAAGGCGAAGGCAGUCUCCUGGGCAAAUACUGACGCUCAUAUGCGAAAGCGUGGGUAGCAAACAGGAUUAGAUACCCUGGUAGU
rnacentral:rRNA from 1 species